CAUCCAUCCAUGCAGAGAUGUCUCAAAGGCAGGAAGAGAUUCGGGAAUGCAGGGAUGAUUGGAGCUGCCGAGUUUGACUUGUGAAUUAUUUGCAUAGAGGUGACAGCCGAAGCCACGGGGGCAAAUGAGUUCUUCAAGGAAUACCGGCCUCAACAUGCCGCUCCCAGUAGCACUACAGUCCCGUCUGGCGAAGCGGGGGAUCCUUAAGCACAUGGAGCCCGAACCCGAAGAGGAGAUCAUCGCGGAGGACCACGACGACGACCACGUGGACUACGAAGCCACCCGGCUGGAGGGUCUCCCGCCCCACUGGUACAAGGUGUUCGAUCCCGUCUGGCAUUCUGCCUUUUCCUCAUUUCCCCCAGCCCUGGCUCCGGUGGGAAUUGUUGGAGCCCAGCCGAGCGGGGGACCCAGGGCUGGGAGGCAGAGAACGAACCCAGCUCGGAAAGUCGGCGGGGCCGGGGCCUGGGGAAGUCUCUGUCUUCCGCCGCCAGAGCCGAAGUGCCUGACUGAAGGAAGAGAGGCUCAGCGGCCUCCCUUACUACUGGAACGUGGAGACAGACCUGGUGUCCUGGCUGUCGCCCCACGACCCCAACUCCAUCGUCACCAAAGCGGCCAAGAAGCUCAAAAGCGCCCUAGACAACGAGGAGAAGCCGGAACGGGCCUUCGAGAAGCCGGAACGGGUCUUCGAGAAGCCCGAUCGAGGGUUCGAGAAGCCGGAGCGGGAGCGGGACCGCGGCGGCUACGACAAGCCCGAGCGGGACCGCGGCGGCUACGACAAACCCGAGCGGGACCGCGGCGGCUACGACAAGCCCGAGCGGGACCGCGGCGGCUACGACAAGCCCGAGCGGGACCGCGGCGGCUACGACAAGCCCGAGCGGGACCGCGGCGGCUACGACAAGUCCGACCGGGACCGCGGCGGCUACGACAAGUCCGACCGGGACCGCGGUUACGACAAGUCCGACCGGGACCGCGGUUACGACAAAUCCGAGCGGGACCGGGGCUACGAGAAACCGGAUCGGGAUGACGUAAAGGAGCGGCGGUACCACAGGCGGGAGGAGCUGGCUCCCUACUCCAAGAGCAAGAAAGCCAGUCGCAAGGAUGAAGAAUUAGACCCCAUGGACCCCAGUGCCUAUUCAGACGCCCCCCGGGGCACGUGGUCCACAGGGCUGCCCAAAAGGAACGAAGCCAAGACGGGAGCCGACACCACAGCGGCGGGGCCCCUGUUCCAGCAACGGCCCUACCCGAGCCCCGGGGCCGUGCUGCGGGCCAACGCCGAGGCCUCCCGGGCCAAGCAG